rnacentral:rRNA from 1 species
AACGAACGCUGGCGGCAUGCCUAACACAUGCAAGUCGAACGAGACCUUCGGGUCUAGUGGCGCACGGGUGCGUAACGCGUGGGAACCUGCCCUUAGGUUCGGAAUAACUCCCCGAAAGGGGUGCUAAUACCGGAUAAUGUCUUCGGACCAAAGAUUUAUCGCCUUUGGAUGGGCCCGCGUUGGAUUAGCUAGUUGGUAGGGUAAAAGCCUACCAAGGCGACGAUCCAUAGCUGGUCGGAGAGGAUGAUCAGCCACACUGGGACUGAGACACGGCCCAGACUCCUACGGGAGGGAGCAGUGGGGAAUAUUGGACAAUGGGCGAAAGCCUGAUCCAGCAAUGCCGCGUGAGUGAUGAAGGCCUUAGGGUUGUAAAGCUCUUUUACCCGGGAUGAUAAUGACAGUACCGGGAGAAUAAGCUCCGGCUAACUCCGUG